CUAUGCAGGGACAGGAUUAGAUACCCUGGUAGUCCACGCCGUAAACUAUGAGUACUAAGUGUCGGGGUUAAACUCGGUACUGAAGUUAACACAUUAAGUACUCCGCCUGAGUAGUACGUACGCAAGUAUGAAACUUAAAGGAAUUGACGGGAUCCCGCACAAGCGGUGGAUCAUGUUGUUUAAUUCGAAGAUACACGAAAAACCUUACCAGGUCUUGACAUACUCUGCAAAGCUAUAGAAAUAUAGUGGAGGUUAUCAGGGAUACAGGUGGUGCAUGGUUGUCGUCAGCUCGUGUCGUGAGAUGUUAGGUUAAGUUCUAAAACGAGCGCGACCCCUGUCGUUAAUUGCCAGCACGUUAUGGUGGGGACUUUAGCGAGACUGCCAAUGAAAAAUUGGAGGAAGGUGGGGAUUAC
rnacentral:rRNA from 1 species